GAUGAACGCUGGCGGCGUGCCUAAUACAUGCAAGUCGAGCGAACAGACGAGGAGCUUGCUCCUCUGACGUUAGCGGCGGACGGGUGAGUAACACGUGGAUAACCUACCUAUAAGACUGGGAUAACUUCGGGAAACCGGAGCUAAUACCGGAUAAUAUAUUGAACCGCAUGGUUCAAUAGUGAAAGACGGUUUUGCUGUCACUUAUAGAUGGAUCCGCGCCGCAUUAGCUAGUUGGUAAGGUAACGGCUUCCAAGGCAACGAUGCGUAGCCGACCUGAGAGGGUGUACGGCCACACUGGAAGUGAGACGCGGUCCAGACUCCUACGGGAGGCAGAGGUAGGGAAGCUUCCGCAAUGGGCGGAAGCUUGACGGAGCAACGCCGGGUGAGUGAUGAAGGUCUUCGGAUCGGAAAACUCUGUUAUUAGGGAAGAACAAAUGUGUAAGUAACUAUGCACGUCUUGACGGUACCUAAUCAGAAAGCCACGGCUAACUACGUG
rnacentral:rRNA from 1 species